CUCAUCUGCGUCGGCCUGCGUAGCUGCUCUGUGCCGGGCUUAGAGGAGAAGGAGGAGGAGCCACUUGCCGCGCAUGCCAGAGGCUAGAGUCAUCUACCGCGCAUGCUGGAGGCUGGAGCCUACAGUGGCUCACCUCGCUGCUGCGGUUGGUGGCCGCGAGAGUGACUACAGCGCAGUCAGAAUGGUGAAAAGGUGGCAGAAUAGGCUUAUCUGACUUUGCCUGCCCAGUUGCUCCGUGCCAGGAGGAGGAGCCACUUAUUCCAUGCUGGAGGCUGGAGCUGGGGGCACCACAGCUCAUCUUGCUGUGGUUGGUGAUGGCGAUGGAGACUACAGAGCACCAGAGCGGUAGGAGAGCAGCAAUGGAGACUGCAGAGUGCCAGAGCAGUAGGAGGGCGGCUGGCUGCUGCCUGGGCAAGGGCAGGGCUGCUGCGGUAUCCAGGUGGUAGGAGCCUUGUAGGGUGGAGCAGUGGACCGAGGGCAACAGGAACAGUGGUUGUAUUGGCAUCAGCGCUAGUGGUGGCAGCAGCAGCAAGUCUGGAGGUUGGGAAGGCGGGUAGGAGCGCUGCAGGGCUGACCCGCCUGGCUGGGCCUGGCCUGGGGUGGGUUGGAAGCUGUGGGCCUCUGGGGCAGCGGUGGAGGUGCAGCCUGGGGAAGGAGGAGUCUCCUCCGCUUCCCCUGCAGAAUCUGGAGGGCGCCCUCCUCCUGGUAGGUCCUGAGCCAGGCGUGAGUGGCAGCAUUGUGUCAUUAUUAACAAAGUUUGGGUAGCGACUAUUUGUGUAUCUUUUUGCUUGUUUUUUGUUGGGAU
rnacentral:lncRNA from 1 species